rnacentral:rRNA from 1 species
CCUACGGGUGGCAGCAGUGGGGAAUAUUGCACAAUGGGGGAAAUCCUGAUGCAGCGACGCCGCGUGAGUGAAGAAGUAUUUCGGUAUGUAAAGCUCUAUCAGCAGGGAAGAAAAUGACGGUACCUGAUUAAGAAGCCCCGGCUAAUUACGUGCCAGCAGCCCCGGUAAUACGUAGGGGGCCAGCGUUAUCCGGAUUUACUGGGUGUAAAGGGAGCGUAUGCGGCAGCACAAGUCUGGAGGGAAAUGACGGUGCUUAACCCCGGAGCUGCUUUGGAAACUGUGCAGCUAGAGAGCAGGAGAGGUAAGGGGAAUGCCUAGUGUAGCGGUGAAAUGCGUAGAUAUUAGGAAGAACACCAGUGGCGAAGGCGGCUUACUGGACUGGAACUGACGUUGAGGCUCGAAAGCGUGGGGAGCGAACAGGAUUAGAUACCCCAGUAGUC